CAGCCGCCGCGGGAAUACGGAGGGAGCUAGCGUUGUUCGGAAUUACUGGGCGUAAAGCGCACGUAGGCGGUUAUUCAAGUCAGAGGUGAAAGCCCGGGGCUCAACCCCGGAACUGCCUUUGAAACUAGAUGACUAGAAUCUUGGAGAGGUCAGUGGAAUUCCGAGUGUAGAGGUGAAAUUCGUAGAUAUUCGGAAGAACACCAGUGGCGAAGGCGACUGACUGGACAAGUAUUGACGCUGAGGUGCGAAAGCGUGGGGAGCAAACAGGAUUAGAUACCCGGGUAGUCCCUGUCUCUUAUAC
rnacentral:rRNA from 1 species